rnacentral:rRNA from 1 species
CCGGCCACAUUGGGACUGAGAUACGGCCCAGACUCCUACGGGAGGCAGCAGUGGGGAAUAUUGCACAAUGGGCGCAAGCCUGAUGCAGCGACGCCGCGUGAGGGAUGGAGGCCUUCGGGUUGUAAACCUCUUUUAUCAAGGAGCAAGGCGGCCUUUUGGUUGUUGAGUGUACUUGUUGAAUAAGCACCGGCUAACUACGUGCCAGCAGCCGCGGUAAUACGUAGGGUGCAAGCGUUAUCCGGAUUUAUUGGGCGUAAAGGGCUCGUAGGCGGUUCGUCGCGUCUGGUGUGAAAGUCCAUCGCUUAACGGUGGAUCUGCGCCGGGUACGGGCGGGCUGGAGUGCGGUAGGGGAGACUGGAAUUCCCGGUGUAACGGUGGAAUGUGUAGAUAUCGGGAAGAACACCAAUGGCGAAGGCAGGUCUCUGGGCCGUUACUGACGCUGAGGAGCGAAAGCGUGGGGAGCGAACAGGAUUAGAUACCCUGGUAGUCCACGCCGUAAACGGUGGACGCUGGAUGUGGGGCCCUUUCCACGGGUUCCGUGUCGGAGCUAACGCGUUAAGCGUCCCGCCUGGGGAGUACGGCCGCAAGGCUAAAACUCAAAGAAAUUGACGGGGGCCCGCACAAGCGGCGGAGCAUGCGGAUUAAUUCGAUGCAACGCGAAGAACCUUACCUGGGCUUGACAUGUUCCCGACAGUGGCAGAGAUGUCACCUCCCUUCGGGGCGGGUUCACAGGUGGUGCAUGGUCGUCGUCAGCUCGUGUCGUGAGAUGUUGGGUUAAGUCCCGCAACGAGCGCAACCCUCGCCCCGUGUUGCCAGCAUGUUGUGGUGGGAACUCACGGGGGACCGCCGGGGUUAACUCGGAGGAAGGUGGGGAUGACGUCAGAUCAUCAUGCCCCUUACGUCCAGGGCUUCACGCAUGCUACAAUGGCCGGUACAGCGGGAUGCGACAUGGUGACAUGGAGCGGAUCCCUGAAAACCGGUCUCAGUUCGGAUUGGAGUCUGCAACUCGACUCCAUGAAGGCGGAGUCGCUAGUAAUCGCGGAUCAGCAACGCCGCGG